rnacentral:rRNA from 1 species
GUGGGGAAUAUUGCACAAUGGGGGAAACCCUGAUGCAGCAACGCCGCGUGAGUGAAGAAGUAUUUCGGUAUGUAAAGCUCUAUCAGCAGGGAAGAUAAUGACGGUACCUGACUAAGAAGCCCCGGCUAACUACGUGCCAGCAGCCGCGGUAAUACGUAGGGGGCAAGCGUUAUCCGGAUUUACUGGGUGUAAAGGGAGCGCAGGCGGCAGGGCAAGUCAGAUGUGAAAUACCGGGGCUCAACCCCGGGACUGCAUUUGAAACUGUCUGGCUGGAGUGCAGGAGAGGCAGGCGGAAUUCCUAGUGUAGCGGUGAAAUGCGUAGAUAUUAGGAGGAACACCAGUGGCGAAGGCGGCCUGCUGGACUGUAACUGACGCUGAGGCUCGAAAGCGUGGGGAGCAAACAGGAUUAGAUACCCUUGUAGUCC